CGUGCAGGCGGCCUCUUAAGUCUGGUGUGAAAGCCCGGGCUUACCCCCGGAAGGGCACUGGAAACUGGGAGGCUAGAGUACCGGAGAGGAGGGUGGAAUUCCUGGUGUAGCGGUGAAAUGCGUAGAUAUCAGGAGGAACACCGGUGGCGAAGGCGGCCCUCUGGACGGAUACUGACGCUGAGACGCGAAAGCGUGGGGAGCAAACAGGAUUAGAUACCCUGGUAGUCCACGCUGUAAACGAUGGGCACUAGGUGUUCGGGGUAUUGACCCCCUGAGUGCCGCAGCUAACGCAUUAAGUGCCCCGCUGGGGACUACGGCCGCAAGGUUAA
rnacentral:rRNA from 1 species